UUGAAUUCAAACAUGUGCCGUGCAUCAUUUGCCCACCCACUCAAAUCAAUGCAACCCACCACAGCCCCACGUGAUAACGACAACAUUUUUGUGUUCCCUCCAACUUAGUCAAUAGUUGCCGACUCGAAAGUUAAUCUUUUUGACAUUAAUAUUAACUUUAUAAUAAAACAUUAUUAACAUCAAUCUCCAGACCCUAAUAUAUAAUAUUUUUCGUUAAUCUUGCCGACAAUCAAUCUCGACAUUAUAUUAAUUUAUUUUCCAACCCAUCAAUAUCAAAGACAAGAUAAAGUAUGACAUAUAAUCCUCGGCAUCUAGAGUAUCACCAUCUCCUCUUGCUUUUGAUUUCUUGGGCACGGCAUUCAUUUUCUCUGUAAACUCUCUCUCCCCACCUCAAAUUCCUUAUCACACAUCCAUUUGUUAAUAGCUCCAUGUAACUAUUCAACUCACAAAUCCUUUCCUGCUAUAUCUGAUCAUAUGGAUCAGAUUCAAUAUUUCAGUUUCAGCCAAUAUUAUUUCUCUUGCUUUAUUCCUCCACAAGAAGAGCAAGGUCAAAUUCAACACCCGGUUCACUCAAAACAAAUUUUUUCUCACCAACAUCCUCUCACUCUAUGUGAUCCAGUGAAUCACAGUGAUGAUGUUUGCGAGAUAAAUUUAAAUAGCAAAAAUCAUGCUGAUUACUGUAGGGAGUGCUCCGUUUGUUUGCUCAUUUAAGGUAAGCCAAAAACUGUGGCUUUAGUUGUUAUGUUUGCGAAUUUGCUCUGGUAGCUGUUAUAUAUAUACACGUGUGUGUGUGUGGGUGUGGGUGUGGGUGUGGGUGUACACACCUCUAACUGUCGGGAUUUCCCCGCUCUAGCAGUUUUUCAACAACAAUUGAACCGUUUGUUUCUGAUUUGAAACCUUCCCCGUAUCGGGCUAUAAUUUAUUCUUUCGGUUCAACAAUACUGCAUUUCAUCAUGAGUUGCUCAAAUUCGGUAGUAUACUCUUCUAUGGAUAAGUCUUUUGCUUCAAUUUAUGAAGUGAAAGUAAUUGUGUAUAUGGACAUCUUAAGAGUAUUUUGGGGAACUGAAUAGCAAAUCCCCUAAUUGGCAUGUUGUUUGCAAUUUGUCUAGCUCUUACAAGGUAUAUAGAAGUGCAAUAUAUCUCUUCGGAAUCAGGAUGGAAAAUCUCACCCAUUAAAUAGUAAUACUUGUUCUUUAUUAUUAUUCAAAUUUCGAUAAUCAAUUUAUUGUUUCAUUGCUCAAUAUUAGUGCUCACAAUCAAUUUCUUCCACUUAUGUUAUGUACCUUUUAACUAUCAGGGUUUUCGUGUUCCAAUUGUUUUUUGAACAAUAAAUGAAUCAUCAAAUCCGGCGGUGGAAGCAAUUGUGUACACGGACAUCUUAAGAGCAUUUUGGAUAAAUUAAUUGCAAAAUUUUCUAAAUCAGCAUGUAGUUUGCAAUUUGUCCAGCUCUUUUGAGGCAUGUAGAAGUGUAAUGUAUCUCUACGGAGCUGACAGCCACUAGAUACCAACACUUGUUCUUUAUUAUUACUCAAACUCAGAUGGUUACGUACGCAAAGCGCAUUUACGGUCAGUUAAGGUACACUGAAGGCUCAAUAUUAUAGUAAAUACCAAUACUUGCUCUUUAUUAUUACUCAAACUCGGAUGGUUGCGGAUGCAAAGCAUAUUUACGGCCAAUCAAGGUACACUCGGAGCUCAAUAUUACUCAUAUUAAAUGUGUGAUCUCUAAUGUAAGUUUAUUGCUUCAUUACUCAAAAUUGUACAAUUUUAUUUACUAAUGACUGCAUGCAUUUGAUGCAGUAAUAAGUAUAAUUUGAUUAACGGAGCAACAGAUUGAUUUGUAUUAAGUUUCUCAUAGAUGAAAUAUAUAAAUGUUUAAUAAACCGCUCAUAAGACAAUAAGAGGUGAGUCACUCACCUUUGCCUAAAAGGAAAAAGAAUGAAGUAUUCAGGGCAAAAAUGGGAAUUUAGGAAAGUACAAUUCUACUGUUGAGAUAACCGAUCGAAUCAGUCCAUCUUAGCAGCAGGGCCUUUAUGAACUUUAGCACAGUAUUCAAAUAAGCUUCCAUCGAAGCAGCGUCGUACAGCUUCCUUUGAUAAGUAGCCUUCGUCAUCCUUUGCAAGAAUAUAUAGAGCUCCCCACUCCAAUUUACUCGCAAUCCUGUUAAGAUUAAGUUGAAAUUGUCACAUUGCUGUUGUGUCAUUAUAUGUUUAUGUAAUGUGACUGUGUUUGGGAGAUUACAGAUUGACAGAGACACAGACCAUCCGAAAAUAUCAAAUGCAUUGCGGGAUGAUUGAGUCAUGUGCCAAAUCUCUGCUCUUGUAAGUUUAUCAGGCACUGUUCGUGCAUAUUUGCUGAAUAUGCUCUCAAAAUUCACUGGGACAUACCUGGAAUUUCCAGAAUUAGUUUGAUGCAUUGCUCACUAAAAUUGGAAAAAGAAAAAUGAUAGUGUCACUCUUUGAUUUGGUAAAAUGGUUAUGAGAACUCCCCUUUUAGAGCUUACGGGCUCUUUUCUUGAAUAAAUCAUGGGGGACCUUAGGUGUAUGUGUGAUCAUUUCUAAACAUGGAAAAAUGGUACUGAAAUUUUUUUAAAAGGAGUCCGUGUGAUCUUUUUAAAAAUAAAGAGUUCCGUGACCAUUUUACAAAAAAACACAUGGUAUUCAUGUCCUUUUUCUGAAAAGGAAAAAAAAAAAUAUUCAUUUGUAAAUGAUAUCUCUUACCUUCCUUCAGUAUCAUAGGUCCCUGUAUCACUGCCAUGUUUUGCCUUAUGUAUGUUUUGGACGUAGAUUGGAAAGAAAGGUGAAGGUAACCAAGUCUACAAGAAAAUUAAGAUUUUCUACCGACUGAAUUAGAUGACACGCAAAAAACCUUUAGAAUAAUGUAACCCUAACGCAUAAUAUAAAUUGGGAAACUUACAGGUGAAGUAGCAUAACUCAUAGCCAUAUGAACGAGAAAGGAAAAAACAAAAGAAGCAAUUGGGUUGAAGCCAAUUAAUCUGAAUCCUCUAAAUGUUUCCCAAGGGUAGAUGAUGCCAUCACCAUCUUGAUCAAAGAAGGCAGAAUGUUGCUGAAGCACAGACAUGUUGUUGUGCUCGUGACCCCAUGUCCCCUUCACAUUUUCUGUAUCAGGUGCAACCACUGCUCGUGG
rnacentral:lncRNA from 1 species